ACCAGUUUGAAAGUUCGAACCUAAGCUGGUUUGCCGUUUGUUAUUCUCAAACCCAAACUGGUUCCAGAAACUAUUCAAACCAUUUCCAAGGAUGGUUUGUGGUUUCGGUUUAGGUUUAAAAUGGCGGCAGAAAUGUUGAUGCAGUGUAGUAGUCGCGAAAAUAUUUAUGCAGAUUCUAUGGUCACAUUGAUUUUUUUAGUGGAUUUUCUAGUAUAACCUUUUUGUGUUUGGUGGUUUUUUUUUAACUUCACAUAGUUUUUUAUAUGCUAUUAGAUAAUUAAUUUUAAUUCGGAACACUACAUGUAUUUGUUUGGUCAUUUAUUUGUUGCUGUUAUUGCUAUUUUUCUCAGACUGGCAGUUGUCUUCUUGUUUUAAUUGUAAAUUGUUAUUUGUUGUAAAUUGGAAAAUACUGAGAUGACGAUUAAUGUUUAUGAGAUAACAAUCCGAUAAAAAAAAAUUAUAAACAUUACUAGAACUCAUAACUGUGAAAUAAAUUGAUAUAGCCUACGAGAACAAGA
rnacentral:lncRNA from 1 species